UUGGGAUACCUCAGCUGAUAGAGCAUGAGUCCCUUAAUCUCAGGGUCGUCGGUUUGAGCCCCACAUUGGGCAAAA